GAGUUUGAUCCUGGCUCAGGAUGAACGCUGGCGGUAUGCUUAACACAUGCAAGUCGAACGAAAGUCUUCGGAUUUUAGUGGCGGACGGGUGAGUAACGCGUGAGGAUCUGCCUAUAGGUUGGGGACAACAGAUGGAAACGUCUGCUAAUACCCAAUGUGCCGAGAGGUGAAAGCUUUAGUGCCUGUAGAUGAGCUCGCGUCCGAUUAGCUAGUUGGUAGGGUAAAGGCUUACCAAGGCGACGAUCGGUAGCUGGUCUGAGAGGAUGAUCAGCCACACUGGGACUGAGACACGGCCCAGACUCCUACGGGAGGCAGCAGUGGGGAAUUUUCCGCAAUGGGCGAAAGCCUGACGGAGCAAUACCGCGUGCGGGACGAAGGCUUUUGGGUCGUAAACCGCUUUUGUUAGGGAAGAACACAAUGACGGCACCUAACGAAUCAGCAUCGGCUAACUCCGUGCCAGCAGCCGCGGUAAUACGGGGGAUGCAAGCGUUAUCCGGAAUUAUUGGGCGUAAAGCGUCCGCAGGUGGUUUAUCAAGUCUGCUGUCAAAUCGUAGGGCUUAACUCUGUAAAGGCAGUGGAAACUGAGAGACUAGAGUACGGUAGGGGUAGCGGGGAUUCCCAGUGUAGCGGUGAAAUGCGUAGAUAUUGGGAAGAACACCAGCGGCGAAGGCGCGCUACUGGGCCGAAACUGACACUCAUGGACGAAAGCUAGGGGAGCGAAAGGGAUUAGAUACCCCUGUAGUCCU
rnacentral:rRNA from 1 species